rnacentral:rRNA from 1 species
GAUGAACGCUGGCGGCGUGCCUAAUACAUGCAAGUCGAGCGAACGGACGAGAAGCUUGCUUCUCUGAUGUUAGCGGCGGACGGGUGAGUAACACGUGGCUAACCUACCUAUAAGACUGGGAUAACUUCGGGAAACCGGAGCUAAUACCGGAUAAUAUUUUGAACCGCAUGGUUCAAAAGUGAAAGCCGGUCUUGCUGUCACUUAUAGAUGGAUCCGCGCUGCAUUAGCUAGUUGGUAAGGUAACGGCCUACCAAGGCAACGAUGCAUAGCCGACCUGAGAGGGUGAUCCGUCACACUGGAACUGAGACACGGUCCAGACUCCUACGGGAGGCAGCAGUGGGGAAUAUUGGACAAUGGGCGAAAGCCUGAUGCAGCAAUGCCGCGUGAGUGAAGAAGGUCUUCGGAUCGUAAAACACUUUAAGUUGGGAGGAAGGGAAGUAUGUUAAUACGUUGAUGUUUUGACGUUACCAACAGAGUAAGCACCGGCUAACUUCGUG